rnacentral:rRNA from 1 species
CCUGAUUGAUCCUGCCAGUAGCAUAUGCUACUCUCAAAGAUUAAACCAUGCACGUAUAAGUACAAACGACUGGUACAGUGAAACUGCAAAUGGCUCAUUAAAUCAGUUAUGGUUCCUUUGAUCGCUCCAUCUGUUACUUGGAUAACUGUGGUAAUUCUAGAGCUAAAAUAUGCCGACGAGGGUGGACCUCCCGGGAUGCGUGCAUUUAUCAGACCAAGACCAAUCCGGGCUAGCCCGGCUGCUUUGAUGACUCUGGAUAACCUCAGGCCGAUCGCACAUCCAUGUGACCGCGACGAUGCAUUCAGAUGUCUGCCCUAUCAGCUUUCGAUGGUACUUUCUGUGCCUACCAUGGUAACCACGGGUAAUGGGGAAUCUGGGUUUGAUUCUGGAGAGGGAGGCUGAGAAACGGCUACCACAUCAAGGAAUGCAGCAGGCGCACAAAUUACACAAUUCCCACUCUGGGAGGUAUUGAUGAAAAAUAAUAAAGGACUCUUUCGAGGCUCUGUAAUUGGAAUGAGUACACUAUAAAUCCUUUAACGAGUACCCAUUGGAGGGCAAGUCUGGUGCCAGCAGCCGCGGUAAUUCCAGCUCCAAUAGCAAAUAUUAAAGUUGCUGCAGUUAAAAAGCUCAUAGUUGGAUCUUGGGAUCGAGCUGGUCGUCCGCCGCGAGGCGAGCUACCACUGCCUGUCCCAGCCCAUGCCUCUUGGCACCCCCUUGAUGCUCUUGACUGAGUGUCCUGGGGGUCUGAGGAGUUUACUUUGAAGAAAGCAGUGUUCAAAGCAGGCCGGUCGCCUGAAUACUUAAGCUAGGAAUAAUGGAAUAGGACACUGGUUCUAUUAUGUUGUUUUUCGGAACUGGGGCCGUGAUUAAGAGGGACGGCCGGAGGCAUUCGUGUUGUGCCGCUAGAGGUGACAUUCUUGGACCAGCGCAAGACUAACCAAAAUGAAAGCAUUAGCCAGUAAUGUUUUCAUUAAGCUACUGUCGUAGUUCCAAACAUAAACUAUACCGAUCAGCGGUCUGGCAGUGUUAUUCCCAUGACCCGUCGAGCAGCUUCCGGGAAACAAAAGUCUUUGGGUUCUGUUUGGGGCAGUGGGGUAUGGUUGCAAAGCUGAAACUUAAAGGAAUUGAUGGAAGGGCACCACCAGGAGUGGAGCCUGCAUCUUGAAACCUCACCUGGCGAUUUGUCUAGUUAAAUCCGAUAACGAACGAGACUCCUCCAUGCUAAUUAUUUGCCAUGAAUGAGGAAUUCCGAUUAAGUGGGGGUCAUAAGCUUGCGUUGAUUAAGUCCCUGCCCUUUGCACACACUGCCUCGCGGUACUACAGAUUGGCUGGUUUAGUGAGCUCCUCGGAUCGGCGAGAAGACUAUCAAACUAUCAAUCUAGAGGAAGUCGUACAUGUUGGGUUAACCUGCUGGGGACGUUCUG